UACGUAGGGGGCAAGCGUUGUCCGGAUUUACUGGGCGUAAAGCGCCUGUAGGCGGCCUGUCAAGUCCGGCCUGAAAGCCCCCCGCUCAACGGGGGAGGGUGGCUGGAAACUGGCAGGCUUGAGGGCGAGAGAGGAGGGUGGAAUUCCUGGUGUAGCGGUGAAAUGCGUAGAUAUCUGGAGGAAUACCGGUGGCGAAGGCGGCAUCCUGGACCGGCAUUGACGCUGAGUGAGCGAAAGCCAGGGGAGCAAACGGG
rnacentral:rRNA from 1 species